GACGAACGCUGGCGGCGUGCCUAACACAUGCAAGUGGAGCGACGAACCGGGGCUUGCGCCGGAGCAGAGUCGCGAACGGGUGAGUAACACGUGGGUGACCUGCCCCGGUGACUGGGACAACCCGUGGAAAGAGGGGCUAAUACCGGAUGGGCCCCCUGGGGGAAAGGAAGGUGCUGGCUCGGCACCGCGGUGGGCGCGGGGCGCGUGGGCUUGCAGGUGGGGUAUGGGCUUACCACGGCGCCGGUGCGUAGCGGGUCCGCGGGGAGGUUCAGCCACACUGGGACUGAGCCACGGCCCAGACUCCGACGGGCGGCAGCGGUGGGGAAUCUUGCACACUGCGCGAAAGCGUGAUGCAGCAACGCCGCGUGCGUGAAGAAGGCCUUAGGGUUGUAUACCGCUUUCAGUUGGGAAGAGGCUUCGCUCGUGAAUAGCGGCUUGGAGUGACGGUACCUUCAGAAGAAGCGCCGGCUAACUACGUG
rnacentral:rRNA from 1 species